UGUAACCGCUGGCCAGCAGCGGAGUUAAUGCGUGGGGGGCAAGCGGUAGGUGGAAUGAGUGGGCGUAAGUCGCACGCCGGCGGUUUGUUAAGUCAGAUGUGAAAUCCCCUGGCUCAAACUGGGAACUGCAUCUGAUACUGGCAAGCUUGAGUCUCGUAGAGGGGGGUAGAAGUCCAGGUGUAGCGGUGAAAUGCGUAGAGAUCUGGAGGAAUACCGGUGGCGAAGGCGGCCCCCUGGACGAAGACUGACGCUCAGGUGCGAAAGCGUGGGGAGCAAACAGGAUUAGAUACCCCUGUAGUC
rnacentral:rRNA from 1 species